rnacentral:misc_RNA from 1 species
GACGUGUUGCAAUCCAUGAGGAAUCCACCACAACCGAUACGAACGUCGUUCGCACGUAGCGUUGAACGCUUUGUUCCGAGGGGCAGAUAGAGGACGAGGCCUCGUGCCCACAACAUGUUCCGCAUCCGAGAUUUCGAGCAUUACGCCUUGGGUGGGCUACACGAGCGCAUGCACACACACACACACGAGUGCCAACCACGACGCAUGCUAUGAGUUCCAAGCCGCACCACGACACCAAUAGGCGACGCAGAGCAAAAUGAAAAAAAGGGACAAUUUAUCCAUCGUAAUGCCUCACAGAUAGGUAUCGAGUACAGGAGGCCGCAAUCGGACGGG